rnacentral:rRNA from 1 species
CGGACGGGUGAGUAAUGUCUGGGAAACUGCCCGAUGGAGGGGGAUAACUACUGGAAACGGUAGCUAAUACCGCAUAACGUCGCAAGACCAAAGAGGGGGAACUUCGGGCCUCUUGCCAUCGGAUGUGCCCAGAUGGGAUUAGCUAGUAGGUGGGGUAACGGCUCACCUAGGCGACGAUCCCUAGCUGGUCUGAGAGGAUGACCAGCCACACUGGAACUGAGACACGGUCCAG